AAUAAAAAUGUUUUGAACUUAUGUUCCGAUCUAGUAAACAAAUGAUAAUUUGUUCUGAUCUUCACUUCUACUUAGGCAUCCACCACAGCAUUUAAUGGAUUUGCACAGGAUAUCUCUGUAUUUACAGCACAAGCAAGUGAGAAUGUGACAGAGCCUUUGGCUGAGGCUGAAGAAGCUCCACCUGGGGAACUUAAGGCUGGUGAAAGCCCUGCUCCUGCUGCUGUUAUGGAAAAGGAGGCUGUCCCUGGUGAGCCUGCUGAACAAGCAGAGCAGGCUGUGGUGAGUGCUCUGUCCCCGUGCCCCCUCUCGGGCCUCA